rnacentral:pre_miRNA from 1 species
CUUCCACCCAUGUGUGUAGGACCACAAAGGAUCACCAUUAAAUUUGGCAUGGAUCUUUAGAAAAGUUAUCAUAUGGGUGUGAGACUUGACUUUUUUGGAGAUCCGUGUCAAAUUUAAUGGUGAUCUUUUAAGGUCCUACACAUAUGGCUGGGAG